AAGUGUGAAGCAAUUAAUUGCAAUCAGUUUCGACCUGACCCUAGAUAAAGAAGAAUUUAUCCUCACUUU
rnacentral:tRNA from 1 species